AUGAUACAAUGCCCGGGCCGGCAGAUCCUAGUGAAGUCAGUGAUCUCCGCUCGGCCGAUUCAUCAGCUAUUGGUCCUUGAUGCCCCGACAUGGGUCAUGGAGGAAAUUGACAAGUCUAUGCAGUCCUUCUUCUAGGCCGGCAAGGAAAAGGUUAAAGACGGACAAUGUCUCGUUGCCUGGGACACCAUAUGUAGACCAACGUGUUAUGGAGGUUUGGGGGUCAAGAAUCUGCAGCUGUAAGCGUUAGCACUUCGGGUCCAAUGGGAGUGGCUUCGCCGGAUGGACCAGUCGAGGCCAUGGCAGGGCAUCAAGAUGAUAGAGGACAAGGAGGCGAAACUGGUUUUUGACAAUAUUUUAAAAAUUCUAGUGGGCAGUGGCGCGAGAGUACUUUUCUGA
rnacentral:rRNA from 1 species